rnacentral:rRNA from 1 species
UACGUAGGGUGCGAGCGUUAAUCGGAGUUACUGGGCGUAAAGCGUGCGCAGGCGGUUCGUCGUGUCCGAUGUGAAAGCCCCGGGCUCAACCUGGGAAUGGCAUUGGAAACUGGCGGACUCGAGUGUGGCAGAGGGGGGUGGAAUUCCGCGUGUAGCAGUGAAAUGCGUAGAGAUGCGGAGGAACACCGAUGGCGAAGGCAGCCCCCUGGGCUAACACUGACGCUCAGGCACGAAAGCGUGGGGAGCAAACAGG